rnacentral:lncRNA from 1 species
GGAGUUUGUCUCUCCGACUUUUUUUUUAUCCCAAUUCUCUCUCUCCGACUACUUUCCUGACGAUCUCGUCGUCUUCAUCCUCUACAAGCUCAGCUCUUCCGCUUCCUUUCCCUCCGAUCUCAUCACGUAAGCAAAACAUUCUUAUCUCUCGUCGUUGCUUCGAACUUCAAAACCUUCGCUUUUCCAGUUUCACUUGCUCCGAUGCUGUUUCGAAUCGGCACUCUUCCAAUACGCCUAGUCAUCGUCGGCUCUACUUCACACCACUACGCCUAGCGCCACCAUCGACUUCUGCCUCCGUCACCGUGACGACGGACCACUCACAUCCCGCCACCUCAAAUUGGGCAGCCGUGGCGGAGAAGCCGCUGCCAAUAUCGGCUGCAGCCUAUUUGAUGUGUACGCAAACAAGACCUUGGACAUGAUUAAGGGUUUUUUAUUUGGGUUUCUGAUUGGUGGUUUUUGCCGGUAUUUUUGCUUCUUUGGCGGCUUUGAUGUUCAAUUGCGUUAAGGACGACAUUGACUAGUCUCCUUUUGAAGAGGAUGAGUGGAGGCAAAGUUACAGAUAAAAUACCUUGGAGAGAAAUGAUCAUGGCACAAGAUUCAUACAUGUCAAGCUCUAUGUCGAAUUAGAGGUAGCAAGAAGGAAGGGUAAAUAUAUUGUUUUGUUGCUUUCCCGUUACGAACUGAACUAUUGAACAAGAAGCUAGGUAGCAGUACAAAACUACAAAUGAUUGAGAUAUAACUCCCAAGCCGAUAAGUAGAACACAAGUCUGUGCAGCCAAAGUUGUUUCCGUGUUUAAAUGAUAAUUUCAAAACGGGUGAGAGCCUUUGGUCUUUCCAUUGCUCUCUACAUGUCUAUCUGCGGCUUUGGUUAAUCUCUCAUUCUUUGUUUAUUUGUUUCAUAAAAGCAUAAACUUGUAUGUUGUAGUUACAGGGCACACUGAAUUUUGAG